UCUUGUUCCCAGUGGUUUGAGCAUUGGACUAUGAUUCUGAAGACCAGGGUUCAAAUCCCUGCUCAGGCA